GAUUAUACAGGCCAGAGGCACAUGGAGCCUCUUUCCUGGGCUGGCAUUUGUUGAUUGUGGCUGGAUUUAUUGUCUAGGCCAUAAAACAGAUACUUCCCCAAGGCCGUGUAGUGGUUUAGUGCAAGGACAGAACCUCUGCUCGCUUCCCACGGUAUAUUUCUGUCUGACCAGACGGCAGAUGCAGCAUUCAAGGACUUCAGAACCUUUGAUGUAAUUGCUUAAAAAGUAACAUCAUAGCACAUGGGCAGCUCUGCCUGAAAGCGGGAACGUCUGGGCCGUGCUGCGUCGCUCUGUGGGCAAAGGCCAGUCACGCUGGGACCGAGCCCCAGUCUGAGCCCCAGAUUCUCUUGGUGAAAUCGCUCCCCAGGCUGGAGGACGUCUGGAGGGGGAGACCCCACCCCAGGGAGCCUACCCCAGGCAAGCGGGGCCCCUGGGAACUCGGAGAGCCAGAGCCAGCCCCUUUUGGAAGGCUGCAGGGGAAGCAUGACUGAGGUGGAGCCUGUGCUGGACUUUGCAUCCUCUGGGAGGACUGGCCGCAGGAACGCCCUCCCUGACAUCCUGGGCUCGCCGGCCGGCGUCAGCCCCUCCGACCUGCCUCUGAAAUUAGCUGAAAUGUCUCUAAGCUCAGACAGAUCCCAAGAAAUGCAGUCCCCCUCCACAGAGGUGCCCCCGCAGCAGCCCCAAAGCCCAGAGCUGAAGGAUACGUCUUAACACCUCCCCUGGGAUGCACUUCUGACCAGCAGGGAAAGGAGAGACUGUUGAGCAUCAACCCUGCUUGACUGGUGGGGCCUGGAGUUUGCUGGGUUUUCCUUGGUGCUAUGCAGCAAGAACAUCUUGUGUUCCUUGGAGCAGGGGCGUAGAGGAACCUCCAAGGGGGAAUAAGCAACCACGCGUUUGGCAAAGCUGGGGAAAACCCCUGCGGGGAAACGUUUCUUUGGUGGCAUUUAAGGACACGACUUAGGAACCAAGGGUGUUUGAUUGGGGGUAUUUCCUCAUCUUCACACCCGAACAGCUGCCGCCCGCGAUGUCUCCGUGCUAGGAUCGUGACGAGCAACCAAGGGUUGUUCUUAGCUGAGUACGUUUGUUCACUGUGAUGUUCUGGGGCACAAUUUCCUUGUCUUUUCUUUUGUGAUAGAUGAUCCAGUAUCCUUAUUCAGGCCUUCUGACAAGUCUGGGGCAAAUGGCGCAGUGGGGGCCGUAGCAUAUUCUCCUCUCUGGCACCCAAAGGUGAAGCCCUUGUCUGGCAAACAGAAGCGAAUCCCUUCCCAGGCUGGGUCCUGCUUAUGCCGGGACCCAGUGUGACCCCUGCGACUUGCGGGAUAAAGGUACCUGGAGCCCUGGCUCCCUUUAGGAGCUUGCCAACCAAAGGGGAGGACGUUUGGCAGUUUCACCAAAGUCUCAAAGCAGCCAGCAGCCCACACCGGGGCGUAAGUGAUGCCAAUCCACGGAGCUUAGCCCCCCGGGCUUGCCUGGACCCCCCCCCCUCCCCAGCAGCACCCUUGCCCCAGUUGUGGGCAUACUGUGCACAGCUACCUCCCCCACCACUGGCCUUCAGGAGCCCCCAGCCAUGGCUGCCGCCUGAGCUAAUCAGGAGCACCCAGCCCUCAGGACGAAGAACUGAGAAGGGGCGUCAGUGGGUUUCACAGCAAACCCCAGAGGGGGCCGCCCUACACCACAGCAGAGAACCUCGGGCCUAGGGUUUUGCUGCCUAACCACAGGCGUUGUCUAACUGGCAGCACACUGCCCUCUGCAGGGAGAUUGGUGCGUUACACAGCCCCAAAUUCCCAUCCCUUACCGGCCAGGAUGGCAGGGAACGAUCUGCAGGCGGUACAAGGCGCUACUCAGGUUUUAGGGGGGAUUUAAUGUUUGCUUUUCACUACAGGCGUAGAGGGACCCCCCCACCGUGCCUGGAUCCUCCCUGCCCCCGAGAGGAGGAAACCUAGUGGUUUGGCUCAGAUAUACUGUGGCACUUCAGUGAAUGCUGCCGUGGCCACAUGGGGCAGGGUUCUGGAUUGAUAGAGGGCUCCCUCCUGCCCUCUUGCAAUGGUCCCCUCCAGAGGGGAGCUCUGGGACAGAGAGCCCUGGUGUCCUGCUCCACAUGGCCUCUCUUACUGUUCCUGUUGUUUGUAUUGCAGUGGUGCCUAGAAGCCCCUGUCAUGGGCCCAAGGCCCCACUGGGCUGGGCACUGUGCAGACACAGCGGAGACACUCCCAGCCCUGAAGAUCGGGUGUGCAAUGGGCCGUGCCCCAGGCUGCAUGAGGGCUCGUGCUGGCUUUCUCCCCAGCACUGCCUGUGGCCACCUGGCUCGCUGGAGGGAGACAAGCACUAUGCAUCCAUGAGGACUCACUGCCACUGGCCUCGCGUCCAGCCUUGGGCACACAGGAGCCAGGAGAAUAGCCAUAGGCAUGGGAGGGCUCUGCAAUGAUUCCCUCAAAGGAAUUAGUUUAGAUUCAGGCUUUCCCCUCCCACUUGUGUCCCUGGGCUCCCUAACUCCUCCUUUAAGUGGGCACCCUCUGCCUGUGCUGCCAGCCCCUCCAUGGUUGCCUCCAGCCAUGAUCUCUGGUUUGGGUGCUCAGGGGACGAGAGAGGCCCUUUUGGAUUGUUGUCCUUUCCCUGGGGGCUGGGAGCAUCGCCUUUGCUGGCCUUUCACCUUCUGCCAGUGCAAAGGCCAAGGAGUCUGAGGCUGACCUCAGUCUCUGAGAAUGCAGAACUGCUGCCCAGGUUUCUUAUUGAACCUCCUGGGCUACCAGACCCAGCAAACUGAUGUGCAGGACACUCCUUCCUCAUCUGUCACUCUUUCUAAGGCCAGGUCUCCAGCAUGGUAUCUCCUGCCUUGGCACUGGGAAGUUCCUGCUGGGAGAGGACUGAGCCGUGCAGGGGCUCUGGUCUCCCAGCUGUGGAAUCAGGGUAGAGCUCUGUGCCCAGGCAGGACUAGGGUCAUCACAAUACAGCUGGGAUGCAGAAACACAUGGGUGUCGCGAGGAACAAGAUGCUUCUAAUAAACCUGGAAGGACUUUGUGCUGCACAGUAAUACCGGCCCUUUGCCAUUCUCCAGCACCUUCCAUUGGAGGAGCUCAAAGUCCUACACAAAAAGAUCACAUGCACCCAAAAAUACAACCCGACCCUGGUUACAGAUGGGAAUGAAUAUAUCACUGGUCCAAGAUACUUGCUACACCCAGUGUUGGGCAUUUAAAAAACAAAAACCAAAACACUACAGCUCCAUUGAUACACAGAACAACUCCGAAAGGCUUGACAGAGACUUAAGAAAUUCAUUUCUCACAAACUACCUAGGGGACAAACAGACACUUCCUGCCAUUAAAAAAGCUGGUAUUCUCAGCUUUCCAGGGGUAUAAAGCACUAAUUUCUAAUCAUCAAAGGCCAUUUUAUCAGCUCUUUUAAAAUCUCAUCACUCCGAUAACCACCUUGCUUCCCACUCCCCUCUCCGCACACUUGAAUUCCAAUGUGUUUUGGUAGCUGCCAUCUCAAGAACUACUUGAGACAGAAACUGAUGCUGCCUGGCCUCUGGAGUGGAAGCUUGGGAAUCUCAGAUUUCCAAGGGGAUAAAGCGUCAACCUCGAACUUGAAAUACCAGCUGCUAAAAUCACACUGGAAUGACCGUUACAAACGUGCUUUGUUGAUGGGACCAAUACAAAUGGUUUCAGGACCAAUCUGAUUUUUCUAAGCACUGAUCCUACGCUGAAUUUGCAAAACGUCCAUCUGCCAAGAUAUUGCUGGAAGGCUCAGGCCUAGAUUCUGAUCUCAGUGACUACCAGGAUAAAUCUGGAGUAAAUCCAUUGCAGUGAAUGGAGUUAUUCCAAUUUUACACCAGUGAAAAGGAGACCAGACUCUGGCCCCCCACGGCUAAAUAAUGCUUGUAAAAGGAUACUGGAUUUAGCAUCAUUCCUAACACGUAAACAAGAGGUUUCCUGGAUUUAAUGUCUGUGUAAUGUGUAUGUGUGGGUGUGUGUCGGAUGUGUAUAGUGUGUACAUGCUGCUUCCUGGAGCGUCUGAGCACAGCUGGGAACAGAGUGAAUGUGGAGACUAGUUUGUGGUGGACACUUGCGACCAGGGAUUGGGGCUGGGAGGAAGGUCUGAGGACUGGGAUUUCCAAAGGGAAAUUUCAGAUGGGCACAUGCCCCCAGCGCCCAAACCCUCAGAUCUCAUUGGUUUUGACUUGGUUGCUGUCAGGAAUUGAGAUGGGGCGGGGAGUGCAGUGAACAUGGGGGUUCUUUUUUUAAGGGAGCAGCGUGCGUCUCUGGGAGAGUCCCGAGCUGCUCCCACC